UCCUUAUCUAGCUGCUUAACUGACCAGAAACCUUGAAAACAAAUUCCCUGUUUAAAAGAAGUGAAAACUGCUGCCUAAACAACUGAGAAAGAUUUCAGAAGGCAUCGGUGAGCUGGCAAGGAGCAAAAACACGUGAAGGCCACAGACUGAAUGGAAGCAGCUUGACCUGCGUCUUCUGGCCAAGGUUUGUGGAUAAGUGUGCCCAUUCCUGCCCAUUCCGAUCUGCCUUCCUCGCUGACCACAAUGUCCAUAGAGAGGGCAGGCUGGACUGCAGUUCUACCGAAGGCUCAGAGAGCACACCUUCCUUGCCAACUCAUCCAUCAGCAAUAAACGGAACUUCUUGACAGUUUUAAAUUUCCUGCCAGGAGCAGCUGGCACAUGAAGAUACGUGUUCUCCUCCAGCAGGAAAAUGUGUGAAUCAGAACUCCCUCUGCUGCUGCAGGAAGCACAGUCCAAAAACCUCCGUCACCUGAAACCAGAGGCAGAAGCCCGAAAAAUAACCCGGUGAUGAUUUUAUCAGCGAUCGGCAACAAGACCCUGAAAACAGGAAUGUGGAUGUCCUGUAGGGUGGAGGUUUCAGGGCUCCCCCACCAAGCUCAGCCGGCCCCCCUCCCCCGAACCAAACCAUUUUUUGCUUUCUCUCCACUUGUCCCUGGCUCUGUUUGAGAUUAGAAGUAUUUCUGACAUGCUGUGCAAAUAUAUGCAAAUUCGAUGUGAGUUCUUGUCAACUCCACUUUGCCCAGUGUGGCUGGGCUGCUUGUGCGGCGCUGGGCGACUGGCCUCCCGGAAUCCCAGCAAUAUGGCCUGCCCGGCCCGUGCCAGGAGCUAUUAGCAGCCUUGACGAAUGGGAUGAAGGAGCUCAGAGAGCCCCACCGUCCGUGAGUAAUAAAUACCGGGGCGCUUAGGGUGCGGAGAAGCACGAGGUACUGUCAGAGGCAGGAGGGAAAGAGCUGGCUUUCUCUGAUUUUUUAAAAUAUCUGUUUGGUUUCUGAGUCUUACUCUCAUUUUUAUGCAGCCUUGGUGGAAAUUUGCUAUUCUGACAAGAACAAUUAUUUGAUGACAUCCUUAUUCCUGGGUCUUUUUUCAGAGCUGGUCUUCCGAGGCUGCUGAGGUUGUCCAGAGGCAGGCAUCCUGAUGCACGUGAGGCUGGAGGCAGAGACCGUGUAGAGAUACACACUCUAAUGUCUAUCCUCACAGGGCCUACCCCUCAUUUGCAUCUGAAUUCCAAAUAGCCAACAUAUGGCACUUAAAAUGGACAUCCUCGAGCAACUGGAAAUCUGUCUGUUUUCUUGGGAUCGUCAUGGGUCAUCCCCCUUUUUCUAUCUCUGGGGUCUCUCCCUCCUUUUUCAGUUACCUUAGUUGUCUGUUCUUUGUAGGCUGAAUAUGAGAGGAAGAGUGGGUUCUGGUUAGGUUGGGGAGGCCAGAGGAAAGGGGGCAGGUGGAGAAGUCUCUGUACUCAUGUGACUACUGCUACCUUCAAACUUCGCUCUUCAUAAACCAGCCCUGCUAGAGAGCAGAGGAUCCUUUGUGCAAUCUGUGAUC